GCGGGCCGGGGAGGGGACCUGGGCCGCCGUGGCUCUGCUUAGAAGGGAGGGGCCGAGCGGCGCCGGGGUCGGAGCGGAGCCAGCCGGGGUGCUGACCGCUGCUCUCGCCCCCCUCCCUUCCGCCCUCCUCCCUCCUCCCUCCCUCCGGGGGCGCGGGCGAGUGUCUGCGGCGCGGCGGCCAGGAAAUGCCGCAGAUGCGCCGCGCAGCAUCCCGGGCGGUGGCAGCGCGCGGGUCCUCCCGCACGGCCGCCGCGGUCUCGGCCUGGCCGGGAGCAGGCGCUUCGUGAAGGGCCAGGGAGGCGGCCUCAUUGGCCUCCGAGGGUCCCGUCGCCUGCUGCCCCCCGCCUGUCCACGCCGUGCUCCUGGCUCCUCCGCCCGGCGUGGCGCUGCUGGUCGCCGCCCCCGGGCUCGCCGAGAUUUGCUGCUGCUGAAACCCGAGAGGGACUCUGGCUCCCCGGGAGCCUGGCGGCCCUGCACCCGCGGCCAGACAGGGGGCCUGGGCGUUUCCUCUGCUGGCUCAGGCGCCCGCCGCCCCCUCGCGCCCCGGCUCUGCGUCUCCGGCUUCUGCGCUCUCCCCCAGGCUGCCGCUCCUUCCGCUUUUCCAGUUAUCAAGGCUGCGUCUUGCUGACUAGAUACUGUCCAGGGUUCCGAGGGAGAGAGGGGAAUUGGCCAGUCAUCGCUUAGAUAAACUUCAGCAUGGCGGGGUACCUCUCCCCAGCCGCUUACCUGUACGUGGAGGAGCAGGAGUACCUCCAGGCCUACGAGGAUGUCCUGGAGAGGUACAAAGGUACUGAAAGGCCCAAAGUAGGCAAGCCAGGGCUGUGGAGUACCUCUAUCUGCCAAUAGAUCCCAGACUCCUAUGUUCUGCUAAGCUACUUGUAGUGUAUCAUGUGAUGGUUUUGUCAUCGCAAGAUGGCUGCUCCUCUUCCAGCCCUUUUGUCUUAAUUCCAGAUGGGAAGAAAGAGAAGUGCAAGGACAAAGGACAAAGGAUACGAACUAGUUGAUUCAGCCUCUUUUUAAGGAGCUACUUAGGACCCCAUUUAGCAACUUUCACUUGAUCUCAUUGUCCAGAACUGUUCCAGAGGACACCACUAUCUGUAAGGCAGACUAGGAAAAUAUGGGUUAUUAAGCUGGUCCCAUUUAGAACCCUGAACAAAAUUGAAGUCUUUUUGUAAAGGACAAGGAAAAAAAACGAUAUCUGAUUCGCAACCUGCACUGUCUGGCACAUGGAGAGUAAAAUGUCAGUGUUGAAAUUAGAAACUUAAAGUUUGGACACGUUAACAUCUAUAACACGAUGUAUUCGACUUUCCUAAAGUUUGAGAGACUGAGAAGUCCAUUGAAAUUUCUGAGAAGUUUCAAAGUGACACAAUGAAUGUUUUAUAAUGAUACAACGUGGAUUUGAAAAGUAACUUUUACCCAAUAACUAGGAUUUAAAUUGGCCAAAGAAUGGUGCUUCACACUGUAAGAAACAUAUAUUAGUUCAGGCAUGUAACCAGUUAUUAGGUAUUGUUAGUGAAUUUAACUUUGAACGCAAAAUAUCAUCCUGAUGCUCCUUUAGUUUCUUUUGUUCUGACUUAGCCUUAUACAGUUAUCUCAAUGUUUAUUUAGUCAUGGACUUUUCAAAAAGCUUUCUGCUUUUUAAAACUUUUUUUUGGAGCAGUUUGGAGAAGCUUAUUUUCUAGCUCAGUGAUGAUUUUGGGUGAUAAAUGACAUAUAAGAAGAGGUGGUGAGAACAAUUUCUUGUCCUACUGUUAUUUUGUAGCCAGGCAAAGAAGCAUUUGUGUUUCUGCCUUUGGGUCCUGUGUGCCCAGGAGCCUGGCUCUUCGGGGAGCUAGAGUGUUUGUAAAAACAUCUGAAGCUACAGAGGUGGCAAAAAAAUGGAGUAUCUAGGCUGUCAUUUUCCUUUCUGUUUUCAUUUCCCAACUGAGUAUAAACACGUGUAAAAUGCACUAAGAUGAUCUGACCCUGUAUGACUAAUGAAUAAAUUGAGUGAGAAGAUUUGUAGUUUAGAAUGUUUAGUAUUUCAUAGCGAUUAAAAAGAAACUCAGUCGUUUCAGUUCCAUGGAACUCUUUUCUCUAUAAUGGCUUUUGAAGAAAGACUUCUGUGUCCAUUUCUCAGCUCUUAGUAAUUUAGGGAUCACAUUCUACCCAUUUUCAAAGAGGAAUUUCAGGCAGCUAUCUGCUGAAGUAUAUCAUUAUUUCUAUCAAGUAAGGCUUUUACGUAUUUGUUUUUGGUCUGUCCCUUUAAUGCAAAUUUAUUUGCUGUUGUUUUCUACCUACUUUCAUCUCCCUUAGAAGAGAUGAAUUGGAUGUUAAGAAAAGCUUUGUAUUUAGGAUUGAAUGACAUUUUAUGUUGUAGGAAGGUGAAAAUACCAGUGAAUUAAACUUCAAGAGGAGAGAGAGUCUAGCAGACUAGCAUGAUUCUUCCAUUUCAUUAGCAUAACCACAGAGUCCAUUUUGAAUGCUUGGCUCAAGUGCAUAGUAGUUUUUAGGGAUGGGGUUAGAUAGGGGUUAUUGGAAUAUGGAAAUAGGUCAAUAUAAAGGGUUAUGUUGGACCAGAUUGAAAAGGACCUGAAUGCUAUGCCCAAGACCAAGUUUGGGCUUUAUUCUGUAGAUAGGAAGGGGAAACUGGAUGAUUUUCAGGAGAAUGUUACCAGUGAGAUAGGUUUUAGUAAGAUAACUCCAGUUACAGUGUGGAGGAUUGAGUGGAAGGAAGACUCAGAAAACAGGGAGACAAGUCUGUAAGAUUCUGAUGUUUGCAAUGGGAAGCUGGAUUCAAAAGAAAUUUCAGAAAUUGACAGCAUGGCUGACUGGUUGGUUGGAGUAUUUUUUUUUUUUUUUAAUUUGUAAAAAAAAUGUUCAUUAGAAAGUAUAUUUUUGAAACAAAUUUUUAAUAUUACUCAUUUUUAGACCUUCUUUGGCCGAAAUAGAGUGAAUACUGUUUUAUUUGACCUUGGAAAUACUGCAGAUAGUAUGACCCAAAAAACUGGAAUUUUCCAUUGAACGUGGGCAUCCAUAAGUAAUACCUUAUCAGUCUUGCUGGGAAUCCUCUGAGUAUGAUUUAUAGUGUAUUACAGCAAUGAAUCUGUUUUCUAUAAGCAAAUUAAAUUGUUGGUUUCAGAUCCAUUUUAGAAAUAACUGUUAAUGAUUAAAACAAAUUUUGUAAUGUAUUUCAACAAUUUCUUUUCAUUUCUUAUUUUUUUUUUUACAUAAACUUCAGCAGAUUUGUAGUCAGUUUUGUUUGUAAGAAGUUCAAUGGCCAUAUAAUUUAGUAUUAAGUUCUAAGCCAUUUUUGAAUUUUAUCUGAUAAGCCCUUAAUUUGUAGCUUAAAAUAGUAAAAAGAAUAGCUACCAUUUAUCUGCCUACCUACUUAUAUGCUAGGCACAGUGCUGAGUAUUGCAAAUGAAUUUUGUUUAUAAUUUUUCAUUCUUAUAUAUCUUGGGUACAACUAUGGCCAUUUUAUUAAUAUGGAAAUUGAAGCUUAGAGAAGCUAAUUUUCCUGAAAUCAUACAGCUCUAAGUGGUAGCAGUGGCAUUUGAACAUCAGGUGUAUACUUGACAUAAGCUAUAUAUUUUGAGUUUCAUUACAUUGACUGGAAAAUUUUGCAGAAAUAGUUUUUAUGAGAAUUUUUUAUUAGGAUUAUGAUCUUGAUUAAUACUAGAACCUUCUGAGAUGUGUUACAUUGAUGCAUGAAAUCAAAAUUAAUAGUUUAAAAAUUCAUAGAGAUUUAUAUCAAUUUGAAUAUUAAGUGGACUUGGAAGCUUGAACUGAUGUAUCUUAGCUGGAUUAUAAAUUCUAAAAAUCAGCUACCCAUGAAAGAAAGAUAAAAUUUUAAUAUGAGCAUUUCCAGUGUGUAUUUAUGUUGAAGAGAUUUUGAAAAGAAUUAAAUUUUAUAAAUGUCACUAGUGAAUGUGGCUGCUUUGAUACAUGCCUGAAAUGUUUCCUGGAAAGAAUCGUCAAAAGGAGUUGACAAAGUCUUGAUUUUUCUCUAGUGGGUGAAAAUAUUUCCCAGUGAAUCCUGGUAUUAAAGACAUUAUACAAAGAUUCUAUUGUCUCCGUGAAUUGAAAAAUGCCCCUAUAUUCAGUGUUACAGUUCUCCAUGAUGGUCAUGCCAGUAUGACAAUUUGUAUUCUUGAUUUUUGGCAUGAAAUGAUACUGCUUUGUGGCUCCUUUUAUCCUACCUUUUUUUAAGGCAGUUAGACAUGACAGGUCUGCUGCCUCACUAUCUACCUCAUUGGGUUAAUAAAGGUAAGAUAAAAUAGGGCAUGUGCAGUAUUUUGAUCAGUAGAGAUUACAUAGACAUUCAGUGAAUGAAACAGACUUAAGAGCUCAAGUCCUCUGGCUUCUCCUAGGCCAGGAGCCUUUAAAAAAAAAAAAAAACAACAAAUAUACCACUUUUUAGAGCAGUUCUAGGUUUACAGAAAAAUUGGACAGAAAGUACAGAGUUCCC